ensembl:misc_RNA Metazoa_SRP Metazoan signal recognition particle RNA
GCCAGGCAUGGUAGUGCAUGCCUGUAGUCCCAGCUACUCAGGAGGCUGAGGUGGGAGGAUCACUUGAGCCCGGGAGGUGGAGGCUGCAGUGAGCUGUGAUUGCGCCACUGCACUCCAGCCUGAGCGACAGAGUGAGACCCUGUCUCUA